ACAGCAGCCGCCGCGGGAAGACAGAGGAUGCAAGCGUUAUCCGGAAUGAUUGGGCGUAAAGCGUCUGUAGGUGGCUUUUCAAGUCCGCCGUCAAAUCCCAGGGCUCAACCCUGGACAGGCGGUGGAAACUACCAAGCUGGAGUACGGUAGGGGCAGAGGGAAUUUCCAGUGGAGCGGUGAAAUGCGUUGAGAUCGAAAAGAACACCAACAGCGAAAGCACUCUGCUGGGACGACACUGACACUAAGAGACGAAAGCUAGGGGAGCAAAUGGGAUUAGAUACCCCUGUAGUCCCUGUCUCUUAUAC
rnacentral:rRNA from 1 species